AAUGAACGCUGGCGGCGUGCCUAACACAUGCAAGUCGGAUGUGCCGCAAGGUGCAUGGCAGACGGGUGAGUAACGCGUGGGGAAUCUACCUUUUUGUGGGGAAUAACGUUCCGAAAGGAAUGGUAAUACCGCAUGUGAUCACAGUUUGGGAUAGCUGUGAUGAAAGCUGGGGACCGCAAGGCCUAGCGCAAGAAGAGGAUCCUGCGUCUGAUUAGCUAGUUGGCGGGGUAAUGGCCCACCAAGGCGACGAUCAGUAGCCGGCCUGAGAGGGUGAUCGGCCACACUGGAACUGAGACACGGUCCAGACUCCUACGGGAGGCAGCAGUGGGGAAUUUUGCGCAAUGGACGAAAGUCUGACGCAGCAACGCCGCGUGGGUGAUGAAGGUCUUCGGAUCGUAAAACCCUGUCGUCAGGGACGAAGGUAAUGUGCCUAAUACGCAUGUUGCUUGACGGUACCUGGAGAGGAAGCCCCGGCUAACUCUGUGCCAGCAGCCGCGGUAA
rnacentral:rRNA from 1 species